GCCCGGUGCUGGAAGGUUAAGGGGAGUGGUUAGGAGCAAUCCGAAGCUGUGAACCGAAGCCCCAGUAAACGGCGGCCGUAACUAUAACGGUCCUAAGGUAGCGAAAUUCCUUGUCAGGUAAAUUCUGACCCGCACGAAUGGCGUAACGACUUGGGCGCUGUCUCAACGAGAGAUCCGGUGAAAUUUUAAUACCUGUGAAGAUGCAGGUUAC
rnacentral:rRNA from 1 species